CUGUAAUUAACCCGGACAUUACUGCGAGACAUUUUAAAUGUCUGAAGGAAUACAUUAACAAAAUCUGCUAAUUAUGCAUGAGUUAAAAAAAACUAAACCUUUUUUGUAAAAUGCAUUUAGGCGAUGUGUGUAUUUUGGUUUCCUGUGUCAGUUCUCCGCCUACACGAUGACGGAGCAGCAGAAAGGGCCCUAGCAACAAGUGCAGCACGACAUCGACCUGCCGCUUCAUGCGACAUGAACGAUGUAAACAAAAAGGUAAAGAAAGAGCAGGAAUGCAGAAGGGCAGGGAGGCCUCCAGGACAGGGGCUGGCUGCAGUAUUCUUGUGCCUGCCUGUUUAAUCACAUUUACAGGAGGCCACAAGCGGCGGCCGGGCCGUCUGGACCGGACUCAGGAGCUCACAUGGCACACCAUGCUCGCUGUUCCCCGCUGGGUCGCACAGUGCACGCCUCCUUCCUGUUAAAUCCAAACACAAGCCAAUACCUGAACCCGUCCGUCAGCGCUCCUCCCUCCUCCCAGUCUGCCCUCCGCUCCUCCCUCAGUCCACCUCCCUGUCGGAUUCCACUCCACGUCUUCUCUCGAGCUUGUUCCCUACUCCGAAAGUAGGUCACUGUUUGCUUUGUAUUAUUCAGCAACUGGAAUGAUUGUGCGGUGAGGGUUCUUGACUGUGAUCUGGGUGACAUGCAGCCUGCCAGUGGUGUGCAGAGCAAAAGAGAGGGAGAGGAACCCGCCAGGUCGAUUAAGAUAACGCUUAGCACUGGAAAGCAAAUGGGGAAACUUCCCCAUCAGGUCUCAACGCUUUAGCUGCAACCUCAGGGAGUGACCUCUCAGGCCACAUGCACGCUUCAUGUCACAGAGGAAACGUAUGGAUCCUCAAUAUGCAGUCAUGAGGCGGCUGGUUAAUAACUGGGUCAUGAUAUGUUUUCACGUAGAAGAGCAUGAAGUUAAAUCCAAUGAAGCUUCUGCAGACACACACAAGAAGAGAUGAACUUAGAGUUCAUCUGGUCUCAACCGCCUGCAGCACAUUCAUAAAAUCUGGCAGCUUCUUGGUCUGCGUGCGUGCAGGUACAUACAUAUCGGUGCCCACUUGGUAUAAAAAAUGAUUUUGCUAAAUGAAUCUGUAUUCAGUCCACAUGGGCAUUAGCCCCGGCUGUGAUCCUACCUGGAAUGCAGGGCUGUUAUGCAAGUCGGAGGACUUUGGAUGAUCUGUGAUUGAUGCACUUUGUGGCAUUUUGUUUUACAGCAGGGACACAAACUAUAAAGUGAUUGGUGGCAGCGCUAAGCUGUGUGUAGAAAUCUGUGAACUCGUGAAUUACCAUCUGUUGAAUAACAGUUCUGAGAAUUUAUCAGCUGUCGGUCUCACAGUUAGGGAUCGUGUGCAAGUUAUUGUUUUGCUGGAGGGAAGAAAUGUAAUAUUCUUAAUAUUUGUGUACUUUGAGAAGCCCUAAAUAAAUUAAAUGUAUUAUAUUACCAACCUAUAGC
rnacentral:lncRNA from 1 species